ACAUAGAUAGUUCAGCGUGAGCCUCAACAAUGCAAACUAAACUUCGUAUUUAUAUAUUUUAUUUGUAGUGGAUUGUGUUACAAAUAAGUCUCUACAACAUGAACCCGAUAGCGACAACAUAUUGUUUGCUCUGCCCCUGCAGCAGCGUCCAAGUGGACUUCUAUGGGAUGUCACCCGAGGGUGCGGCUUGUAGGUGAGGGAGAUGAUGGCGGACUUUUGUUCCCCUUCCAUUGAACCUUUUUUUUCUCCAUCGACGACAUCAAUACCACAUACCAGCAAUGUGCUCUUUUUCGGAGCUGGACUCUUGGUCAGUAUUUUGCUUCCCUAUACAGUGUUCCGUUUUGUUCAACUAAUUCCUUUUUGUCCUAUUUUUUCUUGAUGUGUUAUCAUGGAUCUGAUUAUGGAUAUGUGUGGGCACCUACAGUUACAAAACAGUAUGGGUUCAUGGUUGUGGAAUUGUUCUCAUUGGUUUGGAGGAACACGCCUUGGUCAUGAUUUAAUCAUUGAAUUAACUAUUAGGAUUUGAAUCUAAUGGGACUACAUACUUUCGAAUUCAAUCUUCUUACAUAAGAUAUUGGCAGAGGCCUCCCUUCUCUGCUGCAUCAUCGGUUGGGGCUCUGCAUCUCCUGUCAAUGGGUACAUCUGGUGUCAACCCUUUUGCUCUGCUCCUGUAUGUAUGACCCAACUCACUCCUUGAUAUGAUAGUUCAGUAUUUUCCGGAUGCUGAUUAAACCUUCAUGUUCAAUUUAGUUGUAUAAUAGUAGUGCAUAGUCGAAUUGUAUUGCCCUUUGCUUCUAGAUACGUAACUAUAGAUCACAUUGACCUCUACCUGGAAUCAAGUAAUUUUUUUUACUAUGAGGUGUAACAUUUUGUUUCUAUUGCAGAAUUUAAAAAAGUGGUAACUGUUCUAUAAGUUAAUGUAGAAGUGUUAAUAUUGUAGGAGUUGUACAAACGGAACCAAAGAUUACUUACAACUUAUUAAACGGUUUUGCUCAAUGAUGUCGUAUGUACUAUAUUGCUUUGCUUUUUUCGUAAUCGGGCUCUUUUGUUAUAUAACAAAAACCUUAAGUUUGCUCUUCUCUUUGCUUUCCAUCAAAAUAAUCCAUCAUAUGCAUAUUUCUCACGGAGCCUUUCCCCUGCAGAUAAUGCUUUUCCGUCUCUGCUCUAAUUAGACUUGAUGAGCCAGGUUGGUGAUCAUCUUCUGGUGGAACCCUAUGAUAGUACUCCAUCCUUUCUGCAGUGAAAUAUUAUCCGUUGAAGGUGUUGUAUUUCGUGCAGGUUGCAGCUUUUAGCUAUGGUGGUUUAUAAUUCUUCUCUCGUGUUGGCAAAUAGUUGAUGUGUCAACAUGUUUUCUAAGACAAUAUUGAUGUAGAUUAUCGACUGUUUCGUUUACUGUCAAACAUAUAUUCUUUAUGUACACAAACUUAACUUUAUUUUCACAAGCCCAUGCAUUACAAAAUUUUCCUAUCAUCCAACUGAAAAAAAUGCAUGGGCGCU
rnacentral:lncRNA from 1 species